AUAAUACUCUCUCCGUUAAACAAAAGAUGUCUCAAGUUUGUCAAAAUUUGGAUGUAUCUAGACAUGACUUAGUGUAUAGAUGCAUUCAAAUUUAAUUAAAGUCGAGACAUUUUUGUUGGAUGGGGAAAUACCAA
rnacentral:pre_miRNA from 1 species